rnacentral:rRNA from 1 species
GUAAAUCUUAUACCACCCUGAACACACCCAAUCUCAUCUAAUCUCUGGAGCUAAGCAGGGUCGGGCCUGGUUUGUACUUGGAUGGGAGAAAAAAUAAAUCUUAAACUGGAAUGAUAUUGGAAUAUCAUUUACA